AAACAUCGCCUCUUGCUAAAUUAUAAGAGGUCCUGCCUGCCCCGUGAUUUGAUUUAACGGCCGCGGUAUCCUGACCGCGCAAAGGUAGCAUAAUAAAUUGUUCUUUAAAUUGGGACUAGUAUGAAUGGCACCACGAGGGUUUAACUGUCUCCUUCUUUUAAUCUAUGAAAUUAAUCUUCCCGUGAAGAAACGGGAAUACAAAUAUAAGACGAAGAGACCCCAUGGAGCUUCAAACUUAUAACCACUUAUUUAAUGAUACAACAAUUUAUAUAAUAAAAAUGUACUUUAAUAGUUUUUGGUUGGGGCGACCCUGGAGAAAAACAAAUCCUCCAGAUUGAAAACAAUAACCAUUAUAUAAGAGCUACAACUCAAAUAAACAAAAAUUUGACAAAACUGAUCCAGAAUUAACUGACCAGUGAACCAAGUUACCCUGGGGAUAACAGCGCAAUCCAUUUCAAGAGCCCCUAUCGACAAAUGGGUUUACGACCUCGAUGUUGGAUCAGGGAUCCUGGCAGCGCAGCUGUUGCUAAAGGUUCGUUCGUUCAACGAUUAAAACCCUACGUGAUC
rnacentral:rRNA from 1 species